rnacentral:rRNA from 1 species
CAGAGGUGGCAAGCGUUGUUCGGAAUUACUGGGCGUAAAGGGCGCGUAGGCGGCCUUCUCAGUCAGACGUGAAAUCCCCGGGCUUAACUCGGGAACUGCGUCUGAUACUGGAAGGCUGGAGUUCGGGAGAGGGAUGUGGAAUUCCAGGUGUAGCGGUGAAAUGCGUAGAUAUCUGGAGGAACACCGGUGGCGAAGGCGGCAUCCUGGACCGAAACUGACGCUGAGGCGCGAAAGCCAGGGGAGCAAACGGGAUUAGAUACCCCGGUAGUCCUGGCCCUAAACGAUGAGUGCUUGGUGUGGCGGGUAUCGAUCCCUGCCGUGCCGAAGCUAACGCAUUAAGCACUCCGCCUGGGGAGUACGGUCGCAAGGCUG